GACGAACGCUGGCGGCGUGCCUAAUACAUGCAAGUCGAACGCAGUGGGGACGGGUGAGUCACACGUGGGUAACCUCCCAUCAGAGGGGAUAACUAUUGGAAACAGGUGCUAAACCGAUACUGAUGGAUGGACCCGCGGUGCAUUAGCUAUUUGGGGAGGUAACGGCUCACCAAGGCCACGAUGCUGAGCCGACCGGGAAGGGUGAUCGGCCACACUGGGACUGAGACACGGCCCAGCAUCCUACGGGAGGCAGCAGUAAGGAAUCUUCGGCAAUGGAGGAAAGUCUGACCGAGAAACGCCGCGUGAGUGAAGAAGGUUUUCGGAUCGUAAAACUCUGUUGUUAGAGCAGCGGUAUCUAACCAGAAAGCCACGGCUAACGACGUGCCAGCAGCCGCGGUAAUAC
rnacentral:rRNA from 1 species